rfam:Daphnia pulex DAPPTscaffold_153_Cont6066, whole genome shotgun sequence.
GGGGUUUUAACUCAGAGGUAGAGUGCUCGCUUCGCAUGUGAGAAGACCAGAGUUCAAUCCUUUGAAACUCCA